UACGAAGGGUGCAAACGUUGCUCGGAACUAUUGGGCGUAAAGCGCACGUAGGCGGCAUUGCAAGUCGGAUGUGAAAUCUUAUGGCUUAACCAUAAAAGUGCAUCCGAAACUGCAGUGCUUGAGUACUUAAGAGGAUCGCGGAAUUCCCGGUGUAGAGGUGAAAUUCGUAGAUAUCGGGAGGAACACCAGUGGCGAAGGCGGCGAUCUGGGAAGAUACUGACGCUGAGGUGCGAAAGCGUGGGGAGCAAACAGG
rnacentral:rRNA from 1 species